UCAAGACAUCUUUAAAAUGGUGGAGAUGAACUGGCUGUUGGGUCAAGCCAACCUACGCGUCUCCUUCUCCCACAAAGGUCUCUGUACCCAUGAGUGGACACAUUUCUGCCAGCCUGGUCGGUCAUUCAGGGCAACCCGUUCUUGUGAAGCUGAGAGUUUUGACUGCAUCCAAAAGUCUCUGUGAACACAUUCCAUCUAUGAGCCUUAUGCAAAUCCCACGAGGUUGUGCUAUUCCAUUUUCAAAAGCAGACCAGUGGCUGUAGAGGAGGGGUGGUGGACUCGGCCAGUUUCUGGACUGACCCCAGGUGUUGGAGUUGGGUUUCUAGCCAGAUCUGGCUCCACUGUCAUGAGUAACUCCCAAGCCACCCGCUGCUGCACCCUCUUCCCCCACAGACACCCACACACCCACACCGAUUUACAGCUGUCCUAGUCAUACACUCAUUUUCCACCCGUCAAUCUUUAUGGACUAAAUCUAUUACCCCAAAAUGUUCCUGGGACAGAGCUGCCACUGUGAUUGAUAACCUGUGAAAAGCCGGAGACGGCCCCACAUAGGCUGUGGGAGGGAGGUCGGCGACUGUUCUCAGAGGAGUGGGUCCCUCUUCUCCGUGAGCUGGAUUCUUGGAUGAUGCACAAACAAAACUCUUCAGAACAAAGCGCCACUGGCUCCAGUUUACUUUUGUCUUUUUUCAAAGAGCUUUACUUAAGACUUUAAUAGAACUAAACAAGGCCAAAGUGUAGUUAGGGCCCCAAUCGGAGGUAACAAAACCAAGCUGGAUCCAGGCUGAAAAUGGUGUCUGGAAAAUCCGCAGCUGGGAGCAAUCGAGAUCGCCUGGGAUUGAGAUGUGUGGGGCUCUGAACAAGGAUGGAUGGGUAAGGUGGAUGGUACCUGGAUAGGGAUGGGAAGAGCUUGGAUGGGGAUGGCUGGGGCCUGAAUGGAGGAUGGGAGGAGGCUGGAUGGAGGAUGGCUGGAGCUCUGGAUCUUCACCCAUGUUUAGAAGAGGAGGAACUGGGUGGAAAAGCUGGCAGGCGAGAGGAGGUGUGAUUGAGGAGACCAUGGCAUCUGGACUUGAAAUGUAGCUCUGGCACCUGCCAGCUGUAUAAGAUGAAUGAGUUCUUUGCCUCCUGAGUAACAGUCACCUUUUGUGCAGAUCAGACAGAUGGUGCAUGCAAAUCACAGGACAGUGCCUGGCCCCCAGGUGACUAUGGGAUUAAGCCUUCUUCUUUCCUGCCUCUUUCCUUCAGAGAGCUGGGCAGUACCCAGGAAUGCAUGUGCAUGAAUGAGGCCUGAAUGCACCUGGAUGUGUCCUCCCCUUGGGGAAAGUUGAAUGGACCAGAAGCUAGGAACCAAGAGACCCAGGUUCUGGCCUCAGCAGUACCACUGACCUGCUGCUGUGUGACCUUCAGCUUUCCAGAUGCAGAUGGAGGGUUUUGGACUAGAGAAGGGUGUCCAGCUUCCUUGAAUGCAAAUAACCAUCCUCCCACAAGAAUGCCCCUACAAAACCCACAGGUCCUGGGUUCUGGCUGCUCUCUCUGGCCCCACAGCAACUAGAAACAGCUCAAGGGAUUCUUCCUCCAAAUCCCUUGGUCUUUCACGGAGCUGGCGGGUGCACAGCAGGGCCUGUGUGCGUCGUGGACCAGAACAGAGAGGCUGGAGUAAGGGUGUGCAAGGCCAUCAUCCGUCCGCCUCUGAGGACCAUUUUGCGUCUCUGACGGGGCAGACAGGAGACAGAACAUUUAUGCUGCUGGGAAUGAUCCAGUAGCUGUCACAAAAGUGAUGACGAUGCAGGAGAGAGAGGCUGUUGCUGGAGUGAGGACCAUGGUUGGUGGAAGGGAGGGUCUGAUGGCCCGGGUGGUCCACCUGCAGAAAAGGCAGAGUUUAUGGGCGCAGCUUGUCAGGCAAGAAAGGAUUGUGAGACCUGCCCUGGGCACCUUUCAGUUAUCUCUGCCUUUCACUGUCGUUGAGCUUUUUACAACUUGACAAGUUGUAGAACACUGAUAAUGAUGCAAAUAAUUCCUGUCCAUCGAAAUGCAAAUGAACUAUGGCUCCUGGAAAGCAAUUUAUGACCGCU